AUACUUACCUGGAUGGGGUGGAUGGAUGAUCAAUAAGAUCCAUGGCCUAGGUCAGCGAUCUCCAUUGCACUAGGGGGAGGCACUUGCCUAAGGUCUCCCCAAGUGGGAGAGCCUACAUCAUAAUUUGUGGCAGUGGGGGGCCUGCGUUCGUGCGGCCCUCGU